AAGCAUAUACAUUUGUGAGUUCCAUCAAUCGCUGGGAAUGACAAAAAGUGCUAGAAACAG
ensembl:ncRNA B0403.7 ncRNA